GGGGAUUUAGCUCAGUGGUAGAGCACUUACCUAGCAUGUACAAGGCCUUGGGUUUAAUCCCCA
rnacentral:tRNA from 1 species